UACAGCUUUUGGAGGAAGGAGAUCUAACUGAGAUAGGAGACAGAGGAACCCCCCUGAGUGAAGGACAGAAAGCCCGGGUCAGCCUCGCCAGAGCCGUGUAUCAGGACGCAGACAUCUACCUCCUGGACGAUCCGCUCAGCGCAGUGGAUGCAGGAGUCAGCAGACACUUGUUCGAAGAGUGUGUUCGUCAGGCUUUGAAGGAGAAGAUCACCAUCUUAGUCACUCAUCAGCUGCAGCACGUAAAAGAU